AAGCGGAGGAAAAGAAACCACCAGGGAUUGCCUCAGUAGCGGCGAGUGAAGCGGCAAAAGCUCAAAUUUGAAAUCUGGCGUCUUUGGCGUCCGAGUUGUAAUUUGAAGAAGGUAUCUUUGGGCCCGGCUCUUGUCUAUGUUCCUUGGAACAGGACGUCACAGAGGGUGAGAAUCCCGUGCGAUGAGAUGACCCGGGUCUGUGUAAAGUUCCUUCGACGAGUCGAGUUGUUUGGGAAUGCAGCUCUAAGUGGGUGGUAAAUUCCAUCUAAAGCUAAAUAUUGGCGAGAGACCGAUAGCGAACAAGUACAGUGAUGGAAAGAUGAAAAGAACUUUGAAAAGAGAGUGAAAAAGUACGUGAAAUUGUUGAAAGGGAAGGGCUUGAGAUCAGACUUGGUAUUUUGCAUGCUGCUCUCUCGGGGGCGGCCGCUGCGGUUUACCGGGCCAGCAUCGGUUUGGAGCGGCAGGAUAAUGGCGGAGGAAUGUGGCACGGCUUCUGCUGUGUGUUAUAGCCUCUGACGAUACUGCCAGCCUAGACCGAGGACUGCGGUUUUUACCUAGGAUGUUGGCAU
rnacentral:rRNA from 1 species